UACAGUUAUACCACGUUAAAACCCUAGUUCUCGUACCAUCACCGAAGUUAAGCAACAUAGAACCUGGGCAGUACAUAGAUGGGUGACCGCUAGCGAAAACCAGGUGUUGUAAG